GCCUGGAGCUCUGCCAGGAUGCAUGCACAGUGUGGUAUUACCUGGAGGCCGCCAUGACACGGGCACACGUGGUGAAAAGGAGAAGAGAGUGGGAAACGCCAUAUUGAAUGUACUUGGCUUUCAGGUUUCUACUGAGAAAUUUGCUGAUAGCUUUAUGGAAAUUUCCUUAUAUGUGUUUUCCAUGUAACCUCAUUCUUCUGGACAUGGGACAAAAUCCUGGGACUCACCAAACAGCCAGUGUGAAAGAAGCUGUAAAGCUGUAGUCCUCCCGUACUCUGUUGGCAACAGGUGGCUGCCCCACAAGACAGGAAGUGGCGGUGGCUCUUGGCCAGCCCAGGUGCUGCAGGCCUAGUGGGGCAAUGGGAUCGAACAAGCUGGAACAUGCCCCUGUUUGCCAAAGAAAGGCUGUGGAUGGCAGGAACGAACGAACUGCAACAUGAACGAGCUGCAGCCCUUCUGGGGCCCACACCUCGGGACUGCCCUAGCUAGAACUGUAACACGCUGUAACACCCUCUUUGGGGCUCUGGGGUGGCUGGCAUAUCUCAGUUUUUUGGGUUCCACCGCAUUCGCCUCGUUUAGAUGCUGGCGCCUAAAGCAGAAGCUGCUUUGCAGUACACCUGGUUCAGCUACAGCCUUGCACAGAGCUGGUGACUGGAGCAGCCACACCACCACAGCAGUUGGCACAACUGGCUGGGCACCAUGGCUGAACCCUGCACUGAAUCACUCUCACACCCCUCACUGCUCCACGCCAGGGUUGUCUGUGGUGGAUGUGAGAUCUGGGCCAGCGAGCCUGGAGCUGAGCACAGCCUGCUGGUCAGAUUGGGUGGUCAUGAGCGAAACUCUAGCAGAGGCACCCCUGGUCACGGAGGUCUCCAGCUGGUGAAGCACCACCUGAAAGAAUCCUAUGUAAUUUAGACUAAGGCAUUACCAGAAUGGCAUUCUUGAAGAAGUUAAAAAAGGUAGUAUAAUGAAAGCAGCACUGCUUUGUAGCCAAGAGAUUAUCAUUUUAAUCCUUCCUGUAAAAUUUUUUACCCUACCCAUGUUCUUUUACUUCCCCUGUCUCUCACUGACUUAUCCAUGAAAUUAGGGGUUGACAGAAGAUAAUCCCUGUGGUCCCAUACAGCUCUAAUUGUCUAUGAUUCCAUGAAUUUCUGGACUAGGACACUUGUCUGUAACUAUUACAUUGUUUCUCCUUCAAGUAAUGAAAAUAUCUGUAAUUAGAAUCCAUCAUUUUUUAAAUGUUUCUUGUAUAAUUAUAUUCAAUGCUAAAAAUAAAAAUACAUACAUAUAUGAAC
rnacentral:lncRNA from 10 species